rnacentral:tRNA from 1 species
GAGCUUGUGGCUCAAUGGUAGAGCGUUCGACUCAAAUACCAAAGGUCUUGGGUUGAAUCCCAGUUUUUUCA